ACGGAGUUACUUUAGUGAAGUUUUCGGAUGGAUCUGAUUUAACUUAGUGGCGGACGGGUGAGUAAUGCGUGAGCAACCUGCCCUUCAGAGGGGGACAACAGUUGGAAACGACUGCUAAUACCGCAUAAUGUAUUCGGAAGGCAUCUUCUGGAUACCAAAGGAGAAAUCCGCUGAUGGAUGGGCUCACGUCUGAUUAGCUAGUUGGUGAGGUAACGGCUCACCAAGGCUGCGAUCAGUAGCCGGACUGAGAGGUUGAACGGCCACAUUGGGACUGAGAUACGGCCCAGACUCCUACGGGAGGCAGCAGUGGGGAAUAUUGGGCAAUGGGCGAAAGCCUGACCCAGCAACGCCGCGUGAAGGAAGAAGGCCUUCGGGUUGUAAACUUCUUUUAAGAGGGACGAAGAAGUGACGGUACCUCUUGAAUAAGCCACGGCUAACUACGUGCCAGCAGCCGCGGUAAUACGUAGGUGGCGAGCGUUAUCCGGAUUUACUGGGUGUAAAGGGCGCGUAGGCGGGAAUGCAAGUCAGAUGUGAAAUCCAAGGGCUCAACCCUUGAACUGCAUUUGAAACUGUAUUUCUUGAGUGUCGGAGGGGUUGACGGAAUUCCUAGUGUAGCGGUGAAAUGCGUAGAUAUUAGGAGGAACACCAGUGGCGAAGGCGGUCAACUGGACGAUAACUGACGCUGAG
rnacentral:rRNA from 1 species